rnacentral:misc_RNA from 1 species
CCAAACUUGGUCAUUUAGAGGAAGUAAAAGUCGUAACAAGGUUUCCGUAGGUGAACCUGCGGAAGGAUCAUUACCAAUCUCUAGCGGAUCGUGGCUUUUCCAUGAUCUGGUGAAAGUUUUCGUAUUUAAAACCAACUCAUAUAAUAGAACUCGUACUUUUGUAUCAUCACGAUAUGAAUAAAGAUCACUUUCAACAACGGAUCUCUUGGCUCUCAGAGACAGCCAAACUUGGUCAUUUAGAGGAAGUAAAAGUCGUAACAAGGUUUCCGUAGGUGAACCUGCGGAAGGAUCAUUACCAAUCUCUAGCGGAUCGUGGCUUUUCCAUGAUCUGGUGAAAGUUUUCGUAUUUAAAACCAACUCAUAUAAUAGAACUCGUACUUUUGUAUCAUCACGAUAUGAAUAAAGAUCACUUUCAACAACGGAUCUCUUGGCUCUCGCAUCGAUGAAGAACGCAGC